rnacentral:sRNA from 1 species
UGAUAUGAGGGCAAUCUGGCUGUAAGUAACAUCUGUCACCCCAUUGAUCUCUAGGGUUGAUUGGGCUGAUCUAGUUGACUAGGCAUGGUUGCCCCUUCCUUUCUCACUACCUUCUUCCAGAAGCUGUGCACUUGCUUUGUUGAAGAGGAUGACCACCUCUCCCUCAUAGAAGAAGACUGUUUCCUCCAUCAAGGGCACGGAGGGAGUUAGCUUAGUGGCAUAAGUACCUACCUGCCUGGCAAGCACAAGGU